CAAACAAGUCGACUACUCUGCCUGUGCCGGAUCCUCCCAGUGAACAUAAUGCUGACUACAUUAUGACAUGUGCAGAUUAGAUACUGGGACUGGGCCUGAAGAUGCCUACCUGUGGGAUGAACAAUUACAAUUUUAUAUUGUUCAAGAGAUUAUUUCAGACUGGGAACCUAAGGAUUUAUUCACAAUAUAGUAGUACCCCCCAAGAGGCGGGGCCACCAUGAUGUCACCACUCCCGAUCCAUCUCUCUGGCUAUUUAGAGCAGAAGCAGCUCAGGAGUGGCACAUUGUAGUUGUGAAGGAGUUUUAUCACUGGAAGGGAAGACGAGCUGAGCCCUAGCCGACUCAGUCCUCUCUAGACCACGCCCCCUAUUGACUUCACUUCCACUGCUGCUGCCUUUUGGACCCGCCUCUUCCUUUCC